rnacentral:sRNA from 1 species
AUGAGAAGCUUCGACUAAGGUUCGGCUCGAGCGUCAGCGAGAGAGCGUUGCCGCAGGCAACGACCCGAAGGGCGAAGCGCGCAGCGCUGAGUAAU